GGUGGGUCAAUUUUCAGAAAUUUCAUCGUAAAUGUGAAAUACUUAUAUAAAUAAAAAUGCGGGAGAGAUAAAAAAGAUGCAGGGUCGUUUGUUAUGAUGUAGCGCCUGGCGGGCUAUUAGCUAGUGUGUAUCAUCUUAUGAGAAUUGAGGAUGGUGUGGAUCAACCCGAGGAGGUAUGGAUAAAAGUAUUUGCCUCCAGGAGGAAUCCUAGAAUACCGUCUGUUUUAUGGGUUUGGAAAAGUGUGGACUUUCAAGAACGAGAAUCAUAUGAUAUGUUGAGAAUCUCUUAUGAUAAUCAUCCACGAUUGAAACGUAUCUUAAUGCCUGAAAGUUGGAUAGGAUGGCCCUUACGUAUGGAUUAUAUUGCCCCCAAUUUUUAUGAAUUACAAGAUGCUCAUUGAAUGAUAAGAAAGCUAUUUCCACUUAGACAAUUUCAGAUAUUCAAGGAUUGCACGUUCUGUUCUAGAUUAAGCAGGUCUAAUUUAGGGAAUUAUCAAUAGGCUAACAAAAAAAGACAAUUAGGAAUUCAUUGGAAUUCUCACAUUUAUUUGUAAGAUACUUAUUUCGGAUGGGUCACACCAAUAGGAUGAACCAAAUGAGUUCUGCAUCAUGAACUUUGUACUGAGCACAUUACU
rnacentral:lncRNA from 1 species